GAUGAACGCUGGCGGCGUGCCUAAUACAUGCAAGUCGAGCGAACAGACGAGGAGCUUGCUCCUCUGACGUUAGCGGCGGACGGGUGAGUAACACGUGGAUAACCUACCUAUAAGACUGGGAUAACUUCGGGAAACCGGAGCUAAUACCGGAUAAUAUAUUGAACCGCAUGGUUCAAUAGUGAAAGACGGUUUUGCUGUCACUUAUAGAUGGAUCCGCGCCGCAUUAGCUAGUUGGUAUGGUAACGGCUUACCAAGGCAACGAUGCGUAGCCGACCUGAGAGGGUGAUCGGCCACACUGGAACUGAGACACGGUCCAGACUCCUACGGGAGGCAGCAGUAGGGAAUCUUCCGCAAUGGGCGAAAGCUUGACGGAGCAACGCCGCGUGAGUGAUGAAGGUCUUCGGAUCGUAAAACUCUGUUAUUAGGGAAGAACAAAUGUGUAAGUAACUAUGCACGUCUUGACGGUACCUAAUCAGAAAGCCACGGCUAACUACGUG
rnacentral:rRNA from 1 species